AUUCCCGUUCGAUCACCGAAGUUAAGCAAAGUCGAGCUUGGUCAGUGCCGAGAUGGGUGACCGCUUUGGAGUACCAGGACCUGUAA